rnacentral:rRNA from 1 species
GGCUCUUUGGGAAUGAAGAUAAAGAGUCGGACCUGCCCAGUGAAAAUUUUUAACGGCCGCGGUACUCUGACCGUGCAAAGGUAGCAUAAUCAUUUGCCUCAUAAUUGAAGGCUCGUAUGAAUGGUUUGACAAGAAUAUAGCUGUCUCUAUAUGAUUUUGUAGAAUUUUAUUUUGAAGUGAAGAAGCUUGAAUAAAAUUGACAGACAAGAAGACCCUAUCGAGCUUGAAAAAAGAUUACAGAUGCUUUAAAAUAUAUCUAAAAAAUUAUCUGUGGUAAAUUUUGGUUGGGGCGACUUAGGAACAAAUUGAGCUUCCUAAAUUUAUUUAAUACAGGCAAGAUGAUCCAAAAAAUUUUGAUUAAUGAAAUUAGUUACCGUAGGGAUAACAGCAUUAUCUUCUUUAAGAGUUCUUAUCGAAAAGAGGGUUUGUGACCUCGAUGUUGGACCAGAAUGUCCUAAAGAUGUAGCAGUCUUUAAGGGUUGGUCUGUUCGACCAUUAAAAUUCUACGUGAUCUGAGUUCAGACCGGCGUGAGCCAGGUCAGUUUCUAUCUUUAAUUUAAACUAUAAAUUUAGUACGAAAGGACCAAUUUAUUAUAAUUUGUUGUGUUGGAAGAUGUAAUUUAAUGAAGGUAUUAUCAAAUUAGCAAAAUAAAUGCAAUUGACUUAGGAUCAAUAGAUAUAGGUGAAAUUCCUUUAUUUGAUAAUAAAGAUGGCAGAUGAA